AUGCGAGGUUAUCGAUUCCGAGAUCGGACGAGUUGCUCCGCCGCAGACAGAAAAGAUUCGGAGGGAAGAGAAUCGAUUACUGGCUUGCUACGACACGGCGGUUUCUGGUUCAACGAAGAAGACGAUGAUGAAUGAAGAAUCACGCUCCGGUUUGGCGUUGCCGUCGUUUGGUUCGUAAGUCUCCGCGUCUUGGCUUGGUGGUCCUGCUGCGUUUUGCACUGUGAAAUGUCGCUUUGGAUGUUCAAGUCGCUGUGUGCCGUUUGCUGCUGCAUUUUAAACUAUGUCGUUUUAUGCUCCUGCGGCUUGCGUUUUAGUUAACUGCAUUUUGGACUGUUAUGGCUUCGUUGCAGCUUUUCACUUUACUCGUUGUUACCGUUUCGCACAGAUGCCACCUGCAUUUUGUUACCGUUGGAUUCACAUCACCGUUUUGAGCUUGUAUGGAUGGUGUGCGUGGCCUUGAUGUUACUGCGUUCUGCAUUUCCUGCAGCAUGAUGCAUUUGGUAGCAGUUCCACUUUAAUAGCAUUUCCUUGUUGUUUUACUUUGACUUGUAAAUGGAAUUUGGGUUACAAUUACAUGGACAUGGAUAAUAAUAGAUAAUUGUAUUAAUGAAUUAAAUGGAUUAUUGGUUAAUAUGAGUGGAUUGGUUAA